rnacentral:RNase_P_RNA from 1 species
AGGGUCGGCAAGACGGUCGCGUCGGCUCGAUCAUCCGUUCGCGGGUGCGACAGUCGCCGAGGAACGUCCGGGCUCCACCAGAGCAGGGCGGUGGGUAACACCCACCCGGGGCAACCCGAGAGAACAGUGCCACAGAGAACAGACCGCCACGGCCGCCUCCGGGUGGCCGGGGUAAGGGUGAAACGGUGGUGUAAGAGACCACCAGCUGCCAUGGUGACAUGGCUGGCUCGGUAAACCUCGCCCGGAGCAAGGUCAGACAGAAGGCAAUACGGCUGCUCGUCGUGUCUUCGGGUAGACCGCUGGAGGCGUGCGGCAACGUACGUCGUAGAUAGAUGGCCGUCCACGGGUUCGCGUGCUCGCACGCGGGCCUCAGACAGAACCCGGCGUAGUGACCGGCCCUUUCG